AUGGUAGUCUGUUUCCACGUUCUUCAUCUUGGGUUAUCAGAAAUUGGUUUCACUGUGAAUAAACAGGCAGGAGGUAAGGUCCUUGGUAAUCUGGAUUCAAAUACCCAUUCUCUCUCUUAUUAGUUGUAUGGUUUUUGUCAGGUAUAUGCUCACUAUAUUUGUUUUGUUAUUUUUUAGGGGUGGCUUUAGAGCAGAGAACCGUAAGAGAAUGGAAUUCUAGAUGCUUAGAAGCUAGAGUUUUAAAGCAUUCUUGAGGAACAUUGAGCUAGUUUCCUACUUUCUUAAAGGAGGGAAAAGGGUCUCAGUAAAGUUCUAUGGGUCUUCUAAUUAAGUAACAAGGAGAUAAACCAGAAUGCUGAAUCUCAGAUGUGAGGUUGGAGUGAAUAACCAGGGCUGGGUUUUGAAGAGCCUAGUAUGCCAGGUUGAGGAAUUUAACUUUAUUCUAAAGAUAAUGAAAAUCUUUAAGGAGAUGUGCAUUUUGGAAAGGUAUAGGGCCUGUAUGGAGAAUGGCCAGGAGAAGACGAGGCUGGGAUGUGGGUUGGAAGCUGCUGCAGUGAUCCAGCACAGUGUAUGAAGAUGGAAAAGAGAAGGUGCAUCUGAGAUGUAGUAAAGAGCAGGAGAGACUUGACACAGAAAGCACAGUCCUGUCGUUGAGGAACCUGGAACAAGUUGGGGAGGUGCAGCCGAGUAGCGUCUGAGCCAGCUGCUAACUGCAUCAUUCCUGGAAUUCUUCAUCCACAUUCCCGAGCCAGCUCAUCUAUUUUGUGCCAGGACACAUCGUAUAUCUCCGACUUGGCUGCCUUGGGUCAUGGUCUCCUUGUGGUCCAAUCUGCAGGGCCAAGGAGGGAGGGCACCAACGUGGCCAGCACAAAGCUAUCCCUUCUGCCAGUGCCCUGGGUGAUGCAGGCACCACUGUUAGACAGUGCUACAAUCCCAGAUUAAUUUUUUUUUUAUGUUUACUCAUGCUUGAGUUUCCUUUGUUGACCUUUGUUACUGUUGCCUAGAGGUCUAUUAAGGGUCCUUAAAAAUUCCUCAGGCACCCAGCCUGGUUCAUUGUGGAUGCUCCUACGCGUUGCCUGGCAGGGGGAGGGCCAUUCAUAGUUAAACAAACAAUAAGUCAUUUCCUGCUCCCUCUUUAGUCUCACCUUUCAACAAAGAAGGGAGGGGGGACCAUAUUUAAUAAACACCAUCCAUUAGAUUAGAUCAACAGUCUCCAAAUAUUGCAUUUCUUCCAGAAACAGUAUCUCUCCUGCCCUCACAGAAGAGCAUGUGGUCAAGAGGAAAUUGAAUAAAAUCCUUUAAUCAGCCGCAGUAGUAUUUGAAUCAUUUAAUUUAGGAUCUGACAACCACAAAUUACUUUAUUUUUCAGGCCAAUUUUAGCUGACCAGGAGAGCUGGCCCAGUCCGACUCAUGCUUAAUAAAUCACCCCCUUGCCUGAUGGUGGAAAGUUUGGGGAAGAGAUUUUUCUGGGGCUUUUCAAACAAAAUCAAAAACAAUCUGCCGUGCUGUGUGUGCCUCACAUCAGUGCUUGGCUAUGCUCCCUUUGCAUGGCUCUGUGGCUGUAAAGUGAACCCUCGGGCUGGAGGGAGUCAGGGACUCGAGGCAGGGAGCUGUCACCUCCUCAGCCUAUGCCUUUUAUUCCUGGCUCCGAAUUCUCAUGGCCAGGAAAACAAGUCAAAUCAGAUUAGUUGCCAGACAU
ensembl:lncRNA